rnacentral:lncRNA from 1 species
GAGCCAAUGGGACAUUAGCAAGUAUAGCACAUGGAGGGGCUUGAUGAGGAAGUGCCCAGUGGGGCUUGUCCUCUUAGACGCCAGCUGCUAUGUUGUAAAGAAGCUCGGCUAGCCUACUGAAUGGUGAGAGGCCACGUGGAGAGAAACCAUGGAGGACAUGAGGCCUCUUGUCCUUCCAUCUAGCCAGGCUCCCAGCUGGGCGUAGGAGUGAGUCAGCUACAUGGAGCAGAAGAACCGCCCAGCUGAAUCCCGUUGACCACAGAUUCGUAGGAAGUAACCGUGUUGUUUUAAGCCCCUCAGUUUUGAGGUGGUAUGGUACCCAAGCAAUAGGUAACUCAAACAAAGGGACUGAGGGAUGGUCCAGGAACUUUCACAUCAUACUCAGCCUAAUGACAGGAGAGGGAUCUCACCCAUUCCCCCCAGGACAAUGACUGACUCCUAGGGCCUCACCGACAGUGCCCUAGGAAUACAAGUCAGCCGGUGUUAAUGAAGCUGCAGUCAGGGUUCCCAACUAUCCAGGUCAGCUUUGCUCCACCUAGAAGAAACCCUGUCUCUGUCCACCAACAGAAACCUCAAAAAGCAGCUCUGGCCAUGUUGCAGAAGGAUGCACACUCUCUUGAACAAGCUGAAGGCAGCCAGUCAGUGCAGCCAUCCCUUCAGCUUGUGGACUGCAAUGUGCAAAGGAUGGAAAGGAUGCUGUGGACUCAAACUGCUGAGGAGCCUGCAGGCUCACCACGAGAAUGGAGGGAAGCCUGGGAACAAAGUCCCCUUGCUGGAAGCAUGGCUAUCAGGUCACCUGACUCAGUGAUGGGAGGCAAGGACUUGGGGUCCAGUGCUCGAGCUGCCUCUCCUGUCUUCACCGAGGAGGCAGGACAGAUCCAGUUUGGGCAGGAUGUAUAAGAUUUGGACACAUGGAAAAGAUGGAGGUGGCAAGAAAAAAAG